AAUUGCUUUUGGAGCCCCAACUUCUACUUCUCGUAAAAGCCACAUAGGGGUUGACACAGAAAACUCCAUUGUGCCUGAACUGGUGACUAGACCGAGAAGGAAGAAUUUACAGGUUUGUAGCAAUCAUUGAUGAAACUUGACGACGGCUGAAAAGUUUUGAGUUUGGAAGAUGAAGGAGAGUGGAUUGGACCUUUUCUUAAUUGUGGGCUUUUCUUUUGGAGUCUUGGACCUCUUGUUUUAGAAAAAUUAAUGGGAUAAUUAGGCCCAACACGGCCUAUUAAUUAGUAAAUUGAUUUAUACUCUUUCAACUUUUAACUGUAUAAUAUACGUUCAUCAAUACAAAUGACCAAAUCGUUGAUUGUGGGGGUGAGAGAGCCUGAGGCUGUCAAACUUGGCUAGUUGGCUGUAUAGGGAGGCGGCGUACGAACGGAUGACCUGGGUGAGGGAACUUUAGGAAGUGGAUUUGUUAAGUUGAAGAAAAAUAGGGUUUUAGAUUGGGGAUUGAGUCAAAACUCUUUGGAGAAAAAAGCUAGGGAUUCUGAGGACUCGAAUUCAGAAUGCGAGGGUGAAAAUGAGUUGUAGAGAAAAAUGAUCCUAUUGUAAUUGAUAUUUUGUCCGAUUUGUAAAGUGAGGAACUUGAUGAAAAAACAAAGAGAGCAAACAUGGCCGUGGAUUUACCCAUGAAGAAAAGCAUUGUUGGAAAAGGUGACAUGCCGAAAAAUGGUGAUUUGCAAAAUGAUGGCUUUGUUGAGAUGGUUGUUGAGAUAAAAAUAAAAAAUAAAAAAAGGAAAAAAAUUGCAAACCUGGAAAAGUUAGUGAAUCCAAUGAUGUUAAGGUCAACAGAGGUGACAAACUCGUAAAAAUGGCGACAAGAGAUACGUAUUUCAGUGAUGAAGUUUGCAGGCAGAUUUGAGUUCUCGUCUGGGGCACUUGCAGAGCUCCUUUCAACUAUCAAGGGGGAGAUGACAAUGAAUUUGGGCUUGUUACUCACAAUCUAAGUGGCAAUGAUCGCAUAAUAAUCAUUUUUCAAGUUGAGAAGUUUUCAAUCUUUUAUUAAUCUUGCACUGCUUAUUGCUUAAUAUGGAGGAAGGCUCUGGUUCUAGUAGCAGCACUGAGCAAACCAUCUUGGGCAAGGAUUAUUUCCAUGGCAAAUAGAGCCCUUCUCCAAGCUUUGACUGAAUAUUGUUUUCUUGGAUAGUUUUCUAUCAACUAAAGGUUAUCUGUGGUCAGACCGUGUAAAUGAAUUUGUUUAGCCAUAUCUACUUUUUGUUACCACAUGGUGAGGUCUUGGACGAGAGGAUUAUAGUGUUUCAACCUCCUUCUAACCUGAUUUAUAUCAGUCCAAAUGUCGAUUGUGCUGUUUUUGGUGGCUUGAGGAGGGAUCGAGAUUUUAGUGGGAAGAAUUUAGUAGAAUUUGAAGAUGGUUUGAUUUUUGGAUCAAUUGAUCAUGUCAAUUUCAUGUCUAGGUUUGCAAGUUUUAUGUCCCGGGUUGAUGAAUCCUUAGCUUUUUACUGAUUGAUAUAGUCGUGACUUGUAAUUUAUCUAUUUAUCAAUUUUUGCAAUAAAUAUACGGGAAGAAUAAAAAUGUCUUAAUUUA